AGAGUUUGAUCCUGGCUCAGGAUGAACGCUAGCGGCAGGCCUAACACAUGCAAGUCGAGGGGCAGCAUAGUAAGUAGCAAUACUUGCGGAUGGCGACCGGCGCACGGGUGCGUAACGCGUAUGCAACCUACCCGUAACAGGGGGAUAAUCCGAAGAAAUUUGGUCUAAUAUCCCAUAAUAUGACCGAGGGCAUCCUUGGUGAUUGAAAGAUACGUUGGUUACGGAUGGGCAUGCGUUGUAUUAGCUAGUUGGUAAGGUAACGGCUUACCAAGGCUACGAUACAUAGGGGAACUGAGAGGUUAACCCCCCACACUGGUACUGAGACACGGACCAGACUCCUACGGGAGGCAGCAGUGACGGAAUAUUGGUCAAUGGACGGAAGUCUGAACCAGCCAUGCCGCGUGCAGGAUGACGGCUCUAUGAGUUGUAAACUGCUUUUAUGCUAGGGUAAACUCGGGUACGUGUACCCGACUGAAAAUAUAGCAAGAAUAAGGAUCGGCUAACUCCGUGCCAGCAGCCGCGGUAAUACGGAGGAUCCAAGCGUUAUCCGGAUUUAUUGGGUUUAAAGGGUGCGUAGGCUGCUCGAUAAGUUAGAGGUGAAAAUUCGUCGCUUAACGACGGACGUGCCUCUGAUACUGUCGGGCUAGCGAGAGAGUGCUGUGGGCGGAAUGUGUAGUGUAGCGGUGAAAUGCUUAGAGAUUACACAGAACACCGAUUGCGAAAGCAGCUCACAAACUCUUUUCGGACGCUGAGGCACGAAAGCGUGGGGAGCAAACAGGAUUAGAUACCCUGGUAGUCCACGCUGUAAACGAUGAUUACUCGUUGUCGGCGAUAUAGCGAUCGGUGACUAAGCGAAAGCGAUAAGUAAUCCACCUGGGGAGUACGUUGGCAACAAUGAAACUCAAAGGAAUUGACGGGGGCCCGCACAAGCGGAGGAACAUGUGGUUUAAUUCGAUGAUACGCGAGGAACCUUAC
rnacentral:rRNA from 1 species